rnacentral:rRNA from 2 species
ACCCGCUGAAUUUAAGCAUAUCAAUAAGCGGAGGAAAAGAAACUAACAAGGAUUCCCCCAGUAACGGCGAGCGAAGCGGGAAUGUUCGAGCUUGAAAUCUCCGCGAAUUGUGGCCGGGAGAGGUAGCUGUUGUGCCGGCGGUGCCAAAGUUGACCUGGAAGGGCACGUCGGAGAGGGUGACAACCCCGUGUGCGGCCUCGGCGGGCGCAGCCUGCUGCCUUCGGAGAGUCGGGUUGUUUGGGAAUGCAGCCCAAAUUGGGUGGUAAACUCCAUCUAAAACUAAAUAACGGCACGAGACCGAUAGCGAACAAGUACCGUGAGGGAAAGGUGAAAAGUACUUUG